CCUACGGGUGGCAGCAGUAGGGAAUAUUGCACAAUGGGGGAAACCCUGAAGCAGCAACGCCGCGUGGAGGAUGAAGGUUUUAGGAUUGUACACUACUUUUAUGGGAGAAGAUAAUGACGGUAUCUCACGAAUAAGCACCGGCUAACUCCGUACCAGCAGCCGCGGUAAUACGGAGGGUGCAAGCGUUAAUCUGAAUGACUGGGCGUAAAGAGUGCGCAGGCGGGCUUUUAAGUCAGAUGUGAAAUCCUGUGGCUUAACCACAGAACUGCAUUUGAAACUAUGAGUCUAGAGUGUGGGAGAGGUAGGUGGAAUUCUUGGUGUAGGGGUGAAAUGCGUAGAGAUCAAGAGGAAUACUCAUGGCGAAGGCGACCUACUGGAACAUUACUGACGCUCAUGCACGAAAGCGUGGGGAGCAAACAGGAUUAGAUACCCGGGUAGUC
rnacentral:rRNA from 1 species